AUUGAACGCUGGCGGUAGGCCUAACACAUGCAAGUCGAACGAGUGGCGGACGGGUGAGUCAUACAUCGGAAUCUACUCUGUCGGGGGGGAUAACGACGGGAAACUUACGCUAAUACCGCAUACGAUCGAAUUAGCCGAUGUCGGAUUAGCUAGUUUGUGGGGUAAAGGCCCACCAAGGCGACGAUCAGUAGCUGGUCUGAGAGGAUGAUCAGCCACACUGGAACUGAGACACGGUCCAGACUCCUACGGGAGGCAGCAGUGGGGAAUAUUGGAAAAUGGGCGCAAGCCUGAUCCAGCCAUGCCGCGUGGGUGAAGAAGGCCUUCGGGUUGUAAAGCCCUUUUGUUGGGAAAGCGGUACCCAAAGAAUAAGCACCGGCUAACUUCGUGCCAGCAGCCGCGGUAAUAC
rnacentral:rRNA from 1 species